GGGGCGUUAGCUCAGUUGGUUAGAGCAGGGGACUCAUAAUCCCUUGGUCGUAGGUUCGAGCCCUACACGCCCUACCA
rnacentral:tRNA from 1 species